CCUACGGGGUGCAGCAGUGGGGAAUAUUGGACAAUGGGCGAAAGCCUGAUCCAGCCAUGCCGCGUGUGUGAAGAAGGCCUUCGGGUUGUAAAGCACUUUCAGUGGGGAAGAAAGCCUUGGGGCUAAUACCCUCGAGGAAGGACAUCACCCACAGAAGAAGCACCGGCUAACUCCGUGCCAGCAGCCGCGGUAAUACGGAGGGUGCGAGCGUUAAUCGGAAUUACUGGGCGUAAAGCGCGCGUAGGCGGUCUGAUAAAGCCGGUUGUGAAAGCCCCGGGCUCAACCUGGGAACGGCAUCCGGAACUGUCAGGCUAGAGUGCAGGAGAGGAAGGUAGAAUUCCCGGUGUAGCGGUGAAAUGCGUAGAGAUCGGGAGGAAUACCAGUGGCGAAGGCGGCCUUCUGGACUGACACUGACGCUGAGGUGCGAAAGCGUGGGUAGCAAACAGGAUUAGAUACCCUUGUAGUC
rnacentral:rRNA from 1 species